UACGGAGGGUGCGAGCGUUGUCCGGAAUCAUUGGGCGUAAAGGGCGCGUAGGUGGCGCGGUAAGCGUGCGGUGAAAGCCUGGGGCUCAACCCCGGGUCGGCCGUGCGAACUGCUGGGCUUGAGCACUGUAGAGGCAGGCGGGAAUUCCGGGUGUAGCGGUGGAAUGCGUAGAGAUCCGGAAGAACACCGGUGGCGAAGGCGGCCUGCUGGGCAGUGCUGGACACUGAGGCGCGACGAGCGUG
rnacentral:rRNA from 1 species